rnacentral:rRNA from 1 species
CACGUAGGGGCCAAGCGUUGUCCGGAUUUAUUAGGCGUAAAGAGCUCGUAGGCGGUUCGACAAGUCGGGUGUGAAAACUCCGGGCUCAACCCGGAGACGCCACCCGAUACUGUCGUGACUGGAGUCCGGUAGGGGAGUGGGGAAUUCCUGGUGUAGCGGUGAAAUGCGCAGAUAUCAGGAGGAACACCGGUGGCGAAGGCGCCACUCUGGGCCGGUACUGACGCUGAGGAGCGAAAGCGUGGGUAGCAAACAGG